rnacentral:rRNA from 1 species
GAUGAACGCUGGCGGCGUGCCUAAUACAUGCAAGUCGAGCGAACGGACGAGAAGCUUGCUUCUCUGAUGUUAGCGGCGGACGGGUGAGUAACACGUGGAUAACCUACCUAUAAGACUGGGAUAACUUCGGGAAACCGUAGCUAAUACCGGAUAAUAUUUUGAACCGCAUGGUUCAAAAGUGAAAGACGGUCUUGCUGUCACUUAUAGAUGGAUCCGCGCUGCAUUAGCUAGUUGGUAAGGUAACGGCUUACCAAGGCAACGAUGCAUAGCCGACCUGAGAGGGUGAUCGGCCACACUGGAACUGAGACACGGUCCAGACUCCUACGGGAGGCAGCAGUAGGGAAUCUUGCGCAAUGGGCGAAAGCCUGACGGAGCAACGCCGCGUGAGUGAUGAAGGUCUUCGGAUCGUAAAACUCUGUUAUUAGGGAAGAACAUAUGUGUAAGUAACUGUGCACAUCUUGACGGUACCUAAUCAGAAAGCCCCGGCUAACUACGUG